rfam:TPA: Bos taurus chromosome 15, whole genome shotgun sequence.
UCCCUGGUGGCUCAGAUGGUAUAGCAUCUAUCUGAAGUGUAGGAGACCUGGGUUCAAUUCCUGGGUUAGGAA